rnacentral:rRNA from 1 species
UGAGAGUGGGUAGUCCGCACGAGCGCACCCUACCUUAAUUGCCAUCGGGUUAUGCCGGGCACUUUAGGGGGACUGCCGGUGACAAGCCGGAGGAGGGUGGGGAUGACGUCAAGUCCUCAUGGCCUUUAUGACCAGGGCUACACACGUGUUACAAUGGGAGUUACAGAGGGAAGCUAAACCGCGAGGUCAUGCCAAUCCCAGAAAAACUUUCUCAGUUCGGAUCGCAGUCUGCAACUCGACUGCGUGAAGCUGGAAUCGCUAGUAAUCGCGGAUCAGCACGCCGCGGUGAAUACGUUCCCGGGCCUUGUACACACCGCCCGUCACACCAUGGGAGCCGACAAGGGCAGAAGUCGCCGAGCUAACCUUCGGGAAGCAGGCGCCCAAGCUGUUGUUGACGACUGGGGUGAAGUCGUAACAAGGUAGCCGUAGGAGAACCUGCGGCUGGAUCACCUCCUUUCU